CGCCUCUGUGUUGCCCGUCUGCCUUGCGACUGGUGGAUGCGGUGUCAAACGAGGCGCACAGGAAAGCCCUGGGCAGGCCCGCCUGCCCAGACCCGCCUGAGGUCUCGGGCCUGGAGCUGCCCCGGAACAGGA